AACGACACCAUUGACUGCUGCUUUUUCUACAGCAUAGAAGAUUUCGAUUGCGGAUUCAUGACAGAUUAUGUUCAAAGAGUCAAUGGGUGCAGGCUGCCUAGCGUCGUCUUCAAAACCAAUAAGGAUACUGAGGUCUGUGCCGAUGCCCACAGCACAACAGUGAAGGAGUGUAUGGAAGAACUGGACGCAGCCAAGAAGAAAGGGGAAAAGGUCGAUUGAGGAGGAGCUACAAUAGAUGCCACACACCCACCUCCAUUCUCUCACCUUCUGGGAGUUUCUUGGCCUGAAUUCUUUUGUCAAAAGCAACAAUUCUGUUCUGUUCUGGCUGUAAAAACUAGGCACCAAUAAAAACUGUUGAAUUUGACUAUACUUGAAAUGGAAGAGGAAUAAGAAAUAUAGGAAU